rnacentral:lncRNA from 1 species
CAAAGUUGUCUAAGUGCCGCACGGGUUAGCUGCGCAAAACACUCAUCCCGUGACAAGUGGUAUCAGAGCUAAGGUUUGCACGCACGCAAAUUAGCUCACGAAGCAAUGGCCAACCCUUCGAACGUAGCACAAGAGGGUGUUGUUGGUGUGGAUGUUCCACCGGAACCAAGCCGUGGCCGAGAGGGAGAACGCGCCCAAGGCAAGACUCGCGGCAAGUCCAAGGCCCUAUCCGUGGAUGCGUUGGAGCCUCGUGUAGGCACUCUCGAAAUAGCAUUGUCCGCCGCUCAAGAUAGCCUCGUGGGAUUGGAGGAAAGAGUGGAUGGUCUCGAGGGAGAAUACGCCGAGUUCACGGUGGCCACAAAAGCUCUCAUCCAUGAGCAAGUGAACAUUCUCCGAGGUGAGUUUCGUUCUUUCCAUGAUGAGUUGCUCAAACUUCGUACUUUUGUUCAGGACGAACUACAUGCUGUCCGUGCGGAAGUGGAUGAAGUCCGCUCGGAUUGGGCCAAGGCGGAUGUACGGUACAGCAGAUGGACAGUCGCUCAAGCUUGAACAAGCUGCAGAUCUCUGUAAGAAUGUCUCUGACGAGGUUGUUGGAGUCGGUAGAAAGUUUGAUAAGGUUAGAGCCACUGGACAAGUUGGCAGGUAUUGCACACGAAAAGGAAUUGUUGGACAGUAUCAACCUUUCAAGCGAUAUCAGACGGCCAAUUUGAUGGGGGAUUUCGCCAUUGAAGCCGUUGUUUACAAGGUUGAUGUACCUGAGGAAAGUCUUUGGAGUUCUGUGAAGAUUGUAUUCUAGGGAAGUCUUCUAGGCUAAGGUUUGAGACUGCAGCUCAUACUACUAAAGAGAAACUUGGAUACAUACACUCUGAUUUAUGGGGGCCUACACAAGUGACUUCAUUAGGUGGGUGUAAAUACUUUCUGAUUUUUAUAGAUGAUUUUUCAAGGAUGGUUUGGGUCUUUGCACUCAAAAGUAAGGAUGAGGGUCUUGAAAAAUUCAAAAGGUGGAAGAUAUUUGUUGAAAACUAAACUGGUUUAAAGGUGAAAACUCUGAGGAUACAUAAUGGCUUGGAGUACUGCAAUAAGUUGUUUGAAGAAUUCUGUGAGAAGAAUGGGAUUCAGAGGCACAAAACUGUCACAUAUACUCCUCAACAAAAUGGCCUUGCUGAGAGGAUGAAUAGAACUUUGGUAGAGAAGGUAAGGUGCAUGUUGAUCUAUUCUAAGCUCCCAAAAACCCUUUGGGUAGAAUCUUUAAACACAACAUGCUAUCUAGUCAACAGGAGCCCAUCAACUGCUAUAUGAUGUAAAACACCAAUGUAAUUGUGGUCAGAAGAAUAGCUGAUUAUUCAAAACUCAGAAUCUUUGGCUGCAUAGCAUAUGCUCAUGUAAAGCAAGGUAAACUGGAACCAAGAGCAUUGAAAUGUAGGUUUUUAGGGUACCUAGAGGGUGUCAAAGGCUAUAGAUUGUGGCGUGUUGACUCAAAGCCACCACAAUGCAUUAUAAGCAUAGAUGUAACCUUCCAUGAAGAUGAGAUUUUGAAUAGACCAAAGAGUCUUGUUAACAGCUCUGAAUUAGAAGCUGAGCCUGAUAAAGUGAAGUUUCAUGUGGAGCCUCACAACUUGAAAUAACUUGAGCUAGAAAUUAAGGGUGCUAAAAUAAAACCUGAAGCUGGUGUUGAACAUGAAUCAUCAAAAGUGAAGGGGACACAUAAGGAACCCCAACUCAGCAUGGGUUCUCUCCAACGCCUCGGUGCACUCAAUCGCCACCAGCCCGCACUCGUCAAGAAAGGGCUCAUGUAUGUAAGCGCAAAGGUAAACGGUCAGUCCUUUCGUGCGCUGCUAGACACGGGAGCAACACACAAUUUCGUGUCCGUAGACGAGGCCAAGCGCUUAGGCCUCAAGGCCACCAAGGAAGGAGGCACAAUGAAGGCUGUGAACUCACCCGCCAAGCCAAUUGCGGGAAUCGCACAAGGCGUGCACAUCACACUUGGUACGUGGAGCGGAAAGCUUGACUUCUCCAUCGUGCCCAUGGACGACUUCAAGAUGGUCCUCGGCAUGGAAUUCUUCGACCAAGUCCAUGCCUUCCCACUGCCCGCUACAAACUCCCUAAGCAUCCUCGACGGGAGUAAAGCAUGCAUGGUACCCACGGAGCGAGGCAAGUCCGAGGAGAAGACACUCUCCGCCAUGCAAUUCAAAAGGGCUUUCAAGAAGGACCCAAGCUUCUUGGUCUCCAUUCGGGAACUAAAUGAGGAAGGAAAUAGCGGAACGUCGCCAAACCAAGUCCCUCCACGAAUUCAAGCCGUCCUCGAAUAUUACAAGGAUGUGAUGCCUCCAGAACUUCCGAAGAAGCUCCCACCUCCGCGAGAGGUAGAUCAUGCGAUUGAACUGGAACAAGGCGCAAAGCCACCAGCCUUGGCACCCUACCGCAUGGCGCCACCUGAAUUAGAGGAGUUGCGGAGACAACUCAAAGACUUGCUGGACGCAGGCUAUAUUCGCCCCUCAAAGGCCCCAUUCGGUGCACCGGUCCUCUUCCAAAAGAAAAAGGAUGGAUCGCUGUGGAUGUGCAUCGACUAUAGAGCGCUCAACAAGAUCACCAUCAAGAACAAGUAUCCGAUUCCCUUGAUUGCGGACUUGUUCGACCAGCUUGGCAAAGCACGGUACUUCACCAAACUUGACUUGCGCUCCGGGUAUUAUCAAGUGCGCAUCGCCAAGGGAGACGAACUGAAGACAGCGUGCACAACAAGGUACGGGUCUUUCGAAUUUCUUGUGAUGCCUUUUGGCCUUACUAAUGCACCCGCCACAUUUUGCACACUCAUGAACAAGGUACUCCAACCAUUCCUCGACCGCUUCGUGGUCGUGUACUUGGACGACAUUGUGGUGUAUAGCACCACACUCGAGGAUCAUGCCCAACACUUGCAACAAGUCCUCCAAGUACUUCGAGACAAUGAGCUCUUCCUCAAACUAGAGAAGUGCUCGUUUGCCCAACAAGAGGUAGAGUUCCUUGGCCACAAGAUUGCGGGCGGGAAGAUCAUGAUGGAGAAUGACAAAGUAAAGGCCAUCCUCGAUUGGGAGCCUCCCUCGAAAGUACCCGAGCUUCGCUCAUUCCUUGGGCUGGUGAAUUACUACCGCCGCUUCAUUAAGGGCUAUUCAGCCAAGGCGGCACCCUUGACGGAUAUGCUCAAGAAAAACAGAAAGUGGCAUUGGUUCGAAGAGUGCCAACGUGCAUUCGAGGAGUUGAAGAAGGCAAUUUCGGAGGAACCAGUCCUCGCUCUUCUGGACCACACCAAGCCCUUCGAAGUUCAAACGGAUGCCUCAGAUUUCGCCAUAGGUGGAGUCCUUAUGCAAGAAGGCCACCCAAUAGCGUUCGAGAGUCGAAAGCUAAAUGACACGGAACGCCGCUACACGGUGCAAGAAAAGGAGAUGACAGCCAUCAUCCAUUGUCUAAGAGUGUGGCGACAUUACUUGCUUGGCUCACACUUCACGAUCAUGACGGACAACGUGGCGACAAGCUACUUUCAAACUCAAAAGAAGUUGAGUCCGAAGCAAGCACGGUGGCAAGAUUUCCUUGCGGAAUUCGACUAUCGGCUAGAGUACAAACCGGGGAAAGCCAAUGUUGUUGCGGACGCUUUAAGCCGCAAGGCGGAAUUGGCAACACUUAGUAUGAGCCAACCGAAGUCCAACCUUGUCUCACGCAUCAAGGAAGGCCUCCAACAAGAUCCGCUAGCAAAGGAUUUGCUGGAGAAGGUGCUCGAGGGAAAGACAAGGCAGUUUUGGCAAGAGGAAGGCAUCCUCCUCACCAAUGGAGAUUGGCUGUUUGUGCCAAGGUGGGGAAACUUGCGGAAGGAAGUAAUCAAGGAGUGCCACGACUCUAAGUGGGCUGGUCAACCAGGAAUCGAGCGCACCACCGCACUAGUUCAAGCCUCGUAUUUUUGGCCCCACAUGAGGGACGACAUCGAGGUAUAUGUGCGAACUUGUCUUGUGUGCCAACAAGAUAAGGUGGAUCAUCAACUUCCAGCGGGAUUGUUAGAGCCGCUACCACUAGCAACAAGGCCAUGGGAGAGUGUCUCCAUGGACUUCAUCACAUCGCUGCCCAAGUCCGAAGGUUGCGGUAGCAUCAUGGUCGUUGUCGACCGAUACAGCAAGUAUGCUACAUUCAUUGCCGCACCCGUCGAUUGCAAAGCGGACGAGGCAGCCCGCCUAUUCGUCAAGCACAUUGUGAAGCUUUGGGGAGUUCCGAAGAGCAUUGUGAGCGACCGAGACCCUCGGUUUACUGGGCGGUUUUGGACGGAGCUCUUUAAGAUGUUGGGGACCGAUCUCAAGUUCUCGACAAGUUUCCACCCACAAACGGAUGGGCAGACCGAGCGCAUUAAUGGCCUCCUCGAGAUGUACCUGAGGCAUUAUGUGAGCGCUCACCAGCGGGAUUGGGCGAAGCUACUCGACAUCGCCCAAUUUUCUUAUAACUUGCAGCGAAGCGAGGCUACAGGCAAGAGUCCGUUCGAGAUCAUCAUGGGAUUCCAGCCCAUGACCCCCAAUGCCAUAGCCUCGACUUACGGAGGGAAAAGCCCCGCGGCACACAAGCUCGCCCGCGAAUGGCAUGAGGAAGCGGACAUCACGCGAGCCUAUCUCGACAAAGCCGCGAGGAAAAUGAAGAAAUGGGCGGAUACAAGGAGACGGCAUGUUGAGUACAAGGAAGGAGAUCAAGUCAUGAUCAAGCUCCUACCCCAACAAUUCAAGACUUUGCGGAAAGUUCACAAGGGGUUAGUGAGGCGCUACGAGGGACCCUUCCGAGUUGUUCGACGUGUAGGCAACGUCUCGUAUCAACUCCAACUUCCACCAAGACUCAAGAUCCAUCCGGUCUUCCAUGUAAGCCUUCUCAAGCCAUAUCACGAAGACAUGGGAGAACCAAGUCGCGGAGAAUCGAGGCGCGCGCCAACUGCCGUUGUCACCGCAUUCGACAAAGAUGUGGACUACAUCAUUGCGGACCGAACGGUUUCGAGGAGGGGCGUGCCAGCACAUAGCGAGUACUUGGUGAAGUGGAAAAACCUCCCCGAGAGCGAAGCCACUUGGGAACGGGAAGAUGAUUUGUGGCAAUUCGCUGAGCACAUCCAGCACUUCAAGCACGAGAGCGCGACGAGGACGCCGCGAGCUUAAGUGGGGGAGGAUGUUGCGGACCGCCCAAUUCGCUAGCCCAAUUGCCCACAAUUUCGGGCUAGAGAGCCAACACAAGGCCAAGAGUGCUAGCUUGGCCCAAUUCCGGAAGGUUCUAGGCAACUCUAGCACAUGUGAACAUGUAAAUAUUCUAGAAUACUUUAUACAAUUCCAGCACAUGCAAAUAGCUAGGAAAUUGUAAAAUACUCUAGAGUUUGACCAAGUUUGGCAAAGUUAGGUAAAGUUAGGCAAAGUUAGGCAAAGCCUCCCCUAUAAAUAUGGGAUGGCAUUAAGCAUUUGUAUCCAACAAGCACUGUAAUCUCUCUUUGUGCAAUACAAGUUUCUUUGGCUCAAUUGCUCUCUUCUCUUGUUUGAGAAUCUCUAGGCUUACUUAGCAACAUUCGGCAAAGUUGUCUAAGUGCCGCACGGGUUAGCUGCGCAAAACACUCAUCCUGUGACAAUAUGCUCAUGUAAAGUAGGGUAAACUGGAACCAAGAGCAUUGAAAUGUAGGUUUUUAGGGGUGGCCUCCUUGAGAUGUACCUGAGGCAUUAUGUGAGCACUCACCAGCGGGAUUGGGCGAAGCUACUUGACAUCGCCCAAUUUUCUUAUAACUUGCAGCAAAGCGAGGCUACAGGCAAGAGUCCGUUUGAGAUCAUCAUGGGAUUCCAGCCCAUGACCCCCAAUGCCAUAGCCUCGACUUACGGAGGGAAAAGCCCCGCGGCACACAAGCUCGCCCGCGAAUGGCAUGAGGAAGCGGACAUCACGCGAGCCUAUCUCGACAAAGCCGCGAGGAAAAUGAAGAAAUGGGCUGAUACAAGGAGACGGCAUGUUGAGUACAAGGAAGGAGAUCAAGUCAUGAUCAAGCUCCUACCCCAACAAUUCAAGACUUUGCGGAAAGUUCACAAGGGGUUAGUGAGGCGCUACGAGGGACCCUUCCGAGUUGUUCGACGUGUAGGCAACGUCUCGUAUCAACUCCAACUUCCGCCAAGACUCAAGAUCCAUCCGGUCUUCCAUGUGAGCCUUCUCAAGCCAUAUCAUGAAGACAUGGGAGAACCAAGUCGCGGAGAAUCGAGGCGCGCGCCAACUGCCGUUGUCACCGCGUUCGACAAAGAUGUGGACUACAUCAUUGCGGACCGAACGGUUUCGAGGAGGGGCGUGCCAGCACAUAGCGAGUACUUGGUGAAGUGGAAAAACCUCCCCGAGAGCGAAGCCACUUGGGAACGGGAAGAUGAUUUGUGGCAAUUUGCUGAGCACAUCCAGCACUUCAAACACGAGAGCGCGAUGAGGACGCCGCGAGCUUAGGUGGGGGAGGAUGUUGCGGACCGCCCAAUUCGCUAGCCCAAUUGCCCACAAUUUCGGGCUAGAGAGCCAACACAAGGCCAAGAGUGCUAGCUUGGCCCAAUUCCGGAAGGUUCUAGGCAACUCUAGCACAUGUGAACAUGUAAAUAUUCUAGAAUACUUUAUACAAUUCCAGCACAUGCAAAUAGCUAGGAAAUUGUAAAAUACUCUAGAGUUUGACCAAGUUUGGCAAAGUUAGGUAAAGUUAGGCAAAGUUAGGCAAAGCCUCCCUUAUAAAUAUGGGAUGGCAUUAGGCAUUUGUAUCCAACAAGCAUUGUAAUCUCUCUUUGUGCAAUACAAGUUUCUUCUUGGCUCAAUUGCUCUUUUCUCUAGUUCGAGAAGCUCUAGGCUUACUUAGCAACAUUCGGCAAAGUUGUCUAAGUGCCGCACGGGUUAGCUGCGCAAAACACUCAUCCCGUGACAAGUGGUAUCAGAGCUAAGGUUUGCACGCACGCAAAUUAGCUCACGAAGCAAUGGCCAACCCUUCGAACGUAGCACAAGAGGGGGUUGUUGGUGUGGAUGUUCCACCGGAGCCAAGCCGUGGCCGAGAGGGAGAACGCGCCCAAGGCAAGACUCGCGGCAAGUCCAAGGCCCUAUCCGUGGAUGCGUUGGAGCCUCGUGUAGGCACUCUCGAAAUAGCAUUGUCCGCCACUCAAGAUAGCCUCUUGGGAUUGGAGGAAAGAGUGGAUGGUCUCGAGGGAGAAUACGCCGAGUUCACGGUGGCCACAAAAGCUCUCAUCCAUGAGCAAGCGAACAUUCUCCGAGGUGAGUUUCGUUCU